rnacentral:rRNA from 1 species
UCUGGCUCAGGAUGAACGCUAGCGACAGGCUAACACAUGCAAGUCGAGGGGCAGCACGGGAGUAGCAAUACAACUGGUGGCGACCGGCGCACGGGUGAGUAACGCGUAUGCAACCUACCUAUCAGAGGGGAAUAACCCGGCGAAAGUCGGACUAAUACCGCAUAAAACAGGGGCACCGCAUGGUGAUAUUUGUUAAAGAGAUUCGCUGAUAGAUGGGCAUGCGUUCCAUUAGGUAGUUGGUGAGGUAACGGCUCAUCAAGCCGACGAUGGAUAGGGGAACUGAGAGGUUGGUCCCCCACACUGGUACUGAGACACGGACCAGACUCCUACGGGAGGCAGCAGUGAGGAAUAUUGGUCAAUGGGCGGGAGCCUGAACCAGCCAAGUCGCGUGGAAAAGGAAGAAGGAUCUAUGGUUCGUAAACUUCUUUUGCGAGGGGAAUAAAGUGCAGGACGUGUCCUGUUUUGUAUGUACCCUGAGAAUAAGGAUCGGCUAACUCCGUGCCAGCAGCAGC